rnacentral:tRNA from 1 species
GGGUGUAUAGCUCAAUUGGUAGAGCAAGCGGCUCUUAACCGCUAGGUUCAGGGUUCGAGCCCCUGUACACCCA